rnacentral:rRNA from 1 species
UGGGGAAUUGUUCGCAAUGGGCGCAAGCCUGACGACGCAACGCCGCGUGGAGGACGAAGAUCUUCGGGUCGUAAACUCCUGUCGAGCGGGAAGAACACCUUCCUGGUGAACAACCGGGAGGGCUGACGGUACCGCUAAAGGAAGCCCCGGCUAACUCCGUGCCAGCAGCCGCGGUAAUACGGGGGGGCAAGCGUUGUUCGGAAUUACUGGGCGUAAAGGGCUCGUAGGCGGCCAACUAAGUCCGACGUGAAAUCCCCAGGCUUAACCUGGGAACUGCGUCGGAUACUGGAUGGCUUGAAUUCGGGAGAGGGAUGCAGAAUUCCAGGUGUAGCGGUGAAAUGCGUAGAUAUCUGGAGGAAUACCGGUGGCGAAGGCGGCAUCCUGGACCGACAUUGACGCUGAGGAGCGAAAGCUAAGGGAGCAAACGGGAUUAGAUACCCCGGUAGUCCUAGCCCUAAACGAUGAAUGCUUGGUGUGACGGGUAUCGAUCCCUGUCGUGCCGAAGCUAACGCAUUAAGCAUUCCGCCUGGGGAGUACGGUCGCAAGGCUGA